rnacentral:lncRNA from 1 species
AAAGGCCCCGAUAAGACAAUGUAAAACAAUUCAAACGAGAAAACUAACGGCCUUAUUUAUAUAAAAAAAUGAAUGAAAAACAAAUAUGCAAUACAUAAACAAACGACAACCACUGAAUUACAGGCUCCUGACUUGGGACAGGCACAUACCUAAAUAAUGUGGCGGGGUUAAAUAUGUUAGCGGGAUCCCAACCCCCCCCCUAACCUGGGACAAUGGUAUAACAGUACAACAAAAGAACGAACUAUAAAAAUCAGUUGAAAAAGGCUUAACUCAUCAGAUUGUAUGUUUCUCAGUUAUGAUGUAUCUGGUCAUGUUAGUUUGUUUCUUGAUUUUUUUUUUCAAAUGCAUCCCAAUAUGUUUCUCCUAAAAUUAGUCGUCGAAAGAAUUGUU